rnacentral:tRNA from 1 species
GAGGCGUUCGGACGGGUAGGUUCCUACUUUGGGGUAGUAGGGGUCGUGAGUUCGAAUCUCGCCGCUCCG